rnacentral:misc_RNA from 1 species
CAAGAUGCAUACCAAAGACCAAGAGCAUAGGAAGCAUAGAGUGAAAACUGGGCUAUUCCAAAUCCACUUCCAGCUAUCUGCCCCUUCCAAAAGCAGCGUCGGAGGGGAAUUUGAAGGUUGGUGUCGAAAAGACCAACUAUUUGUGACUCUGAAUUGAAGGCAGCAACAGUCCUUACAUUGGCUAUGGCCUCACCCCUGCCAGUUGUGUGGCUUUGGCAUGUGCAGCUUCUAAGUCCCCGGAGAAACCAGUCAUGAACAUUUUCUGUAGAACAGUGGCUGCAACAACCAAGGGGAAGACAGAGAUAAGGACAAGGGCUAGGCGCCACUGCAAAACAAACCCUGCGGUGCAAGCAACUAGCAUCAAGGCUGUAUUCUGUACAAUCACUGAAAUCCUGUCUCCAAUGGCUGAUCUGACAUUGUUUGCAUCGAGAGCUAAUCUUGCUGCAAUCCUAGCACUCUCAUUUUCCUCCUGAUCAAACCAUGCCAUUUCAUUUUUUAGUACUGCUGACAGCAUUUUCUCCCUCACUCGUUUUGUAAGAUUCUCUCCUACAAUGUCCCAGAAGAAAUGCUGCAAUGUGUUGAAGAUUAGUGCAGCUGAUGAGAGCCCAAUCAACAAAUAGCAGUACUUUCCAAUUUCUCGGCUCAUAUAAGCAUGGUUUUGAUUAUAGUAGACACUGAGGACAGCACUGAGGACAUAGGCAAAGAAGGCACUCAGGGAGCCACAAAUAACUGAGCCUACAGAACCAACUAGUGCGUAAACCCAUUCAGGAGAAUUCAUCUUUGCAAGGCGCCAGAAUGAACUCGCUUGCUCUUUGAAAGCAAGCUUUUCGAGUCGGUAAUUGGAAUGUGUGGCAUCAAGGGAGAGACUAAAAUCUGAGGUAGAGAAGUCAGAUAGCCUGCGUGAGUAUGGUGAUCGACCAUAAGAAGAAUUACGUGCAAUUAUUGGUGAGCUCACAGAGUUCCUGGCACUUGAGGGCCUUGCGCUACUCUUUCUGGCAUUGUUCAUAGCUGUUUCAUGAGCCAUUUCCUGCAUUCUGAUGAGCUUGGCAUAAACACCAUUCUCUCCUUUGGCAAUAAGCUCAUCAUGGGUUCCGAUUUCAGUGACACUACCCUGCUGGAGAACAGCUACAAGAUCAGCCUUGCGAAUGGUGGAGAGCCUGUGAGCAAUGACAAGAGUUGUCCUCCCAAUCAUGAAUCUGUCAAGGGCCUCCUGCACCAGUUUUUCUGAUUCAGAGUCCAAAGCACUAGUUGCCUCAUCUAAAAGCAGAAUAGCAGGGUUUUUCAGCAUUGCCCUUGCUAUAGCUAUUCUCUGCUUCUGUCCUCCAGACAACUGCAGUCCUCUCUCACCUACCUGAGUAUCAAAGCCUUCAGGUAGCUUGACAAUAAAUGAAUGUGCAUUGGCAACUCUGGCAGCUUCUUCGAUUUCGAUUUGAUCUGCAUCAGGUCUACCCAACAGUAUAUUUUCUUUAAUGGUGGUGGCAAACAGGGCAGGCUCUUGGCUAACAAGUCCUAUUUGUUGUCUCAACCAUCUCAAUUUUAAUGUCUUGAUGUCAUGCCCAUCUAGCAGAACUUGCCCUGAGUUGGGAUCAUAGAAUCUCUCAAUGAGGGAGACCACAGUGCUUUUGCCAGAGCCGCUGCUGCCAACCAGAGCUAUGGUCUUGCCGGCAGAAACAUUGAGGGUAAAAUUGUUUAGAAUCCGCACGUCUGGCCUAGAUGGGUAGGAGAAAUCUACAUUUUUGAGCUCUACUAGCCCUGUAACCGAGUCUAACUCUAACCCAGAUUCACUGUUUCGAUCAACAGCAGGCUUAUGAUCAAUUAUACGAAAAAUUUUUGUAGCAGCAACUUUUGCUUUCGCAAAUGCACCCAUACUAGGGGCAGAUUGGCCUAAAGCCAAUCCUCCAAUCAUGACAGCGAACAUGGUGGCUAUUGCUAGUCCUCCAUUGGUGUAGUGAUGCCUAACAAGAUAACCUCCAUACCAUAGAAGCAGAGCAUAGCAGCAGAAAACAACAAAGUAGGUUGCACCUAAUCCCAUUCCCUUAGCAAAUCCACUCUUGUAACCGACUCUUUGAGCCACUUUCAAUGCUGACGAAUAGCCUUGCAAUGCUCUUGAUUCUCCAACAAAUGCCAAAACAACCCGAAUUUGGACUAUCGUCUGUUCUACAAUGUUUCCUGCCUGUGAUAGAGCUUCUUGGCUCUUCCCAGAUAACUUAGCUAACGUGUUGGUGUGGAUUGCUGCAAUUACAGCAAUAAGAGGAACCACUGCUAGAGUGACCAGUGCUAAUUGCCACACAGCUGUGAAACCCACCACAAAUCCAGACACAAAUGUUGCCAUGUAGUGAAGGAAAUUGCCCAGCUUCUCACUAAUGGCAUCUUGGACCAUCA